rnacentral:rRNA from 1 species
GACGAACGCUGGCGGCAUGCCUAAUACAUGCAAGUCGAGCGGACUUGAUGAGAAGCUUGCUUCUCAGAUAGUUAGCGGCGGACGGGUGAGUAACACGUAGGCAACCUGCCCUCAAGCUUGGGACAACUACCGGAAACGGCAGCUAAUACCGAAUACUUGUUUUCUUCGCCUGAAGGAAACUGGAAAGACGGAGUAAUCUGUCACUUGGGGAUGGGCCUGCGGCGCAUUAGCUAGUUGGUGAGGUAACGGCUCACCAAGGCGACGAUGCGUAGCCGACCUGAGAGGGAGAUCGGCCACACUGGGACUGAGACACGGCCCAGACUCCUACGGGAGGCAGCAGUAGGGAAUCUUCCGCAAUGGGCGAAAGCCUGACGGAGCAAUGCCGCGUGAGUGAUGAAGGUUUUCGGAUCGUAAAGCUCUGUUGCCAGGGAAGAACGCUUGGGAGAGUAACUGCUCCCAAGGUGACGGUACCUGAGAAGAAAGCCCCGGCUAACUACGUGCCAGCCGCCGCCGUAA